GUCCACGCCCUAAACGAUGUCGACUGGUUGUUGGGUUUGACACUCUCAGUAACGAAGCUAACGCGUGAAGUCGACCGCCUGGGGAGUACGGCCGCAAGGUUAAACUCAAAGGAAUUGACGGGACCCGCACAAGCGGUGGAUUAUGUGGAUUAAUUCGAUGCAACGCGAAACCUUACCUACCCUUGACAUGUCCUGGAGCCCGGAGAGAUCCGGGUGUGCCCGAAAGGGAACGGGAACACAGGUGCUGCAUGGCUGUCGU
rnacentral:rRNA from 1 species